rfam:Ricinus communis cultivar Hale ctg_1100012362968, whole genome shotgun sequence.
AGACCGUGGUGUGGACAACAUCUCAACAAGUCCUUCUAUCUCUCCUAGGCAUCGUACAUGUUCUCAUCGUCCAUCUGCACAAAAGAAGCAAUGUCAUUUCUCAACUU